ensembl:lncRNA
GCGUAUUGCAUGGUGUGGCUUUUUUUUCUUCUUUUGACUAAUUGUUACAACUUACCCCAGUAUGUGUUACAUCCUACCCAUAGACAGCUAUGUAUUUUUAUCCUUGAGCAAAUGGCUUUGUGAGUAUGUCUCCAGUGAGCUAGCCAAAAGUGACUUUUUGUGUCAAUUUACCUUCCCUCCCCACUGCAGCCAUACACUUCAGCCACUGGAUUGAAGUGUCUACGGCCCAUUUAAGAAAAUGGUAAACACUGCAAAUGAUGCCUGGAUGAAGAUGAAUUCUGCAAAGACGAUGAUGAUAUAUGAUAUUCCAAGUAUUGUGAAAACAGCUUUGCCUGCAGCAGCAACACCGAAAAACAUUCAAGCCUGAUUUCAAUCUACAGCUCACCAGUCCAUGGCCUCCUCUCCUCCAGCUCACCAGUCCAUGGUCUCCACUCCUCCAGCUCACCAGUCGACGACCUCCACUCCUCCAGCUCACCAGUCCAUGGCCUCCUCUCCUCCAGCUCACCAGUCGACGACCUCCACUCCUCCAGCUGGAGGAGAGGAGACCAUGGACUGGUGAGCUGGAGGAGAGGAGACCAUGGACUGAUGAGCUGGAGGAGAGGAGGCCAUGGACUGGUGAGCUGGAGGAGUGGAGGUCGUCGACUGGUGAGCUGGAGGAGAGGAGGCCAUGGACUGGUGAGCUGGAGGAGUGGAGGCCAUGGACUGGUGAGCUGGAGGAGUUGAGACCAUGGACUGGUGAGCUGGAGAAGAGGAGGCCAUGAACUGGUGAACUGGAGGAGAGAAGGUCAUGGACUGGUGAGUUAGAGGAGAAGAGGCAGUCAUUUGGUCAGUUGGAGGAGUAAAUGACAUGCUUGGGUCUGGUCGGUCAGUCACUUGUGAGGGUGCAUAGUCACUGUCAUCAAAAAUAUCAGGACUGAAGGGCCAAAUACCUGUAGAUUGAAAUCAGGCUUGAAUGUUUUUGGGUGUUGCUGCUGCAGGCAAAGCUGUUUUCACAAUACCUGGAAUAUCAUAUAUCAUCAUCGUCUUUGCAGAAUUUAUCUUCAUCCAGGCAUCAUUUGCAGUGUUUACCAUUUUCUUAAAUGGGCAGUAGACACUUCGAUCCAGUGGCUGAAGUUUAUGGCUGCAGUGGGGAGGGAAGGUAAGCAGCACAAUUCCCUUUUCUUUACAAAAUUCAAUAGCUUUCACAGAUAAAUGUGAGUGGUGGUUGUCUAGCAAAAGCAAAGUAUUAUAAAGUAUUCUUUGUAACGCUCACAAGGGAAUACAAAGAAGGGGGGGGUCGCAUUUCCAUGUGCUUGCACAGCGCAUGCUACCGACGGAUGUCAUUGCACCCGCCUGCUUUGCUCCACGACGUGCAAUAACACGGUCUGGUGACUGAACUGUUGUGACACCAGUUUCGUCUACAUUCCAUUUGUCGCUCCCGUCAAAGUUGUAUUUCUCAAUGACCUGUCUAAGGAAGCUGAAGAAACGCUCCACAUUUGUGUGGUUAAAAUUUGUAGCUCGUGAAAGGCUGGUUGCCUCUGGACUCCUCAUUGUCAGCCUUGGGUUCGCUUCAAAAAGAAUGUGAACCAG